GGGGCUGUACCGGUUUCGACGUUUUGGCGAACACUACUUUAUGAUUCAGGCCGAGAGCGAGCUACCUCUCGAAAAUCAAUGGCUCAAACAAAACGUAACUGCGAACAACAUCGUUCCUUUUGCUCGUAAGCGCGUGGCUGUAGCUGCCGCCUAACAACCUCUUUUAGGUUCGAGCGUCUGCGGUUUGACUCCGUUAAGGAUUGCAGACUUAAACCCCAACGGAUGCUCUAGUACACUGCCUCUGGUCGGUUGCUAGCUAAGACAUCACUAGAGAAGCCCGCCGACGGGGAUAAGCGUCGGUUCCCGCUUUGAGGAUCAGAGAAGCUAAGCCUGUGAACGAGUGAAGUACUAAUACCCAGGGCGGACAGGAGUUCGACUCUCCUCAGCUCCACUU
rnacentral:tmRNA from 1 species